rnacentral:misc_RNA from 1 species
UUAAAAGUCAAUGAGUGCACUUUAUUGUGGCUCAAAAACCUUUAAAUCUUCACCCAUUAACCCAAAGCUGUCUUGUGUACUCUUAUCUUGUAUAAGGGUAUAGCAUUUCAGUAGUACGCAUCAUGGAAAUUGCCUUCAUUGGAAUGUUCAAGUUGCAUUAACCCCCCUUAUAAGUUACCCUUAAUUUUUAUUAUUAACCCUAUAAAGUUUUAAGAAUGUAAACCCCCUUUAAAUUAAUAUA